GAUGAACGCUGGCGGCGUGCCUAAUACAUGCAAGUCGAGCGAACGUACGAGAAGCUUGUUUCUCUGAUGUUAGCGGCGGACGGGUGAGUAACACGUGGAUAACCUACCUAUAAGACUGGUAUAACUUCGGGAAACCGGAGCUAAUACCGGAUGAUAUUUUGAACCGCAUGGUUCAAAAGUGAAAGACGGUCUUGCUGUCACGUAUAGAUGGAUCCGCGCUGCAUUAGCUAGUUGGUAAGGUAACGGCUUACCAAGGCAACGAUGCAUAGCCGACCUGAGAGGCUGAUAGGCCACACUAGAAGUGGGCCACGGUCAAGAGUACUACGGGACGGAGCAGUAGGGUAUGUGAGGCAAUGGUCGAAAACAUGGCGGAGCAAGGGAGAGUGAGUGAUGAAGGUCUUCGGAUCGUAAAAAUCUGUUAUGAGGGAUGAACAUAUGUGUACGUAGAUGUACAGAAAUUGACGGUACCUAAUCAGAAAGCCACGGCUAACUACGUG
rnacentral:rRNA from 1 species